rnacentral:lncRNA from 1 species
CAAUGCUUCCCAAACUCCUUGUUGCCAUCUUAACACCUUCAAAAUUACCCGACGCAUUGCUGCUACGCUGCUCAAGUCAUUCUUUC